rnacentral:tRNA from 1 species
UGCCCCGUGGUGCAAUUGGUAGCACAGCAGAUUUUGGUUCUGCAUGUUCUAGGUUCGAGUCCUAGCGGGGCAG